rnacentral:lncRNA from 1 species
CUCACAGACAGGAAGACAGUGAGCAGCACCUGUGUAACCUCACAGACAGGAAGACAGUGAGCAGCACCUGUGUAACCUCACAGACAGGAAGACAGUGUUCAACGUGCUUCAUUCAGAACAACCUUUGGUCCGACAGAAAACAACAUUCAUUCAAACCAUUAUGCAACCUCUCUGUUGGAGUUAGAGGCUGGGGACGAUGUUGACAGUGGAACACUUUGUAACCUCCGGACUAAACUGUUGCUGUUAGCAGGUACUAUGUCUUUUUGUAACACUGUCUAUGGGUUGUUUAGAACAAACAGUGGGACCUCUAAGAUGAUAGAGGGAGAGAGAGACACGGGACCAGAACAGGACAGUUCUUUUGUGUCAGUGUUUUUGGAGGAAAUGUAAAGGAUACAUUUUAUACAAAAGUGAAGCCGCUUCAAAUACCCAAAACCCCUUGUCCCCUGAGCCUUCCCAAUCCCAAACAUAUACCCAGCCCUGCCCAGCCUCUACACUCACGUCACCUGGUCUAACCUAUUCAUGACAGGAUAUACCCAGCCCUGCCCAGCCUCUACCCUCGCUUCACCUGGUCUAACCUAUUCAUGACAGGAUAUACCCAGCCCUGCUUAGCCUCUACACUCACGUCACCUGGUCUAACCUAUUCAUGACAGGAUAUACCCAGCCCUGCCCAGCCUCUACCCUCACUUCACCUGGUCUAACCUAUUCAUGACAGGAUAUACCCAGCCCUGCCCAGCCUCUACCCUCACUUCACCUGGUCUAACAUAUUCAUGACAGGUCUAACCUAUUCCUGACAGGUCUGGUCUAACCUAUUCCUGACAGGUCUGGUCUAACCUAUUCCUGACAGGUCUGAUCUAACCUAUUCCUGACAGGUCUGGUCUAACCUAUUCCUGACAGGUCUGAUCUAACCUAUUCAUGACAGGUCUGGUCUAACCUAUUCAUGACAGGCCAGGUCUAACCUAUUCAUGACUGGUCUAACCUAUUCAUUACAGGUCUGGUCUAACCUAUUCAUGACAGGUCUAACCUAUUCAUGACAGGUCUAACCUAUUCAUGACAGGUCUGGUCUAACCUAUUCAUGACAGGUCUGGUCUAACCUAUUCAUGACAGGUCUGGUCUAACCUAUUCCUGACAGGUCUGGUCUAACCUAUUCCUGACAGGUCUGGUCUAACCUAUUCAUGACAGGUCUGGUCUAACCUAUUCAUGACAGGUCUGGUCUAACCUAUUCCUGACAGGUCUAACCUAUUCAUGACAGGCCAGGUCUAACCUAUUCAUGACAGGCCAGGUCUAACCUAUUCAUGACAGGCCUGGUCUAACCUAUUCAUGACAGGCCAGGUCUAACCUAUUCAUGACAGGCCUGGUCUAACCUAUUCAUGACAGGCCAGGUCUAACAUAUUCAUGACAGGCCAGGUCUAACAUAUUCAUGACAGGCCAGGUCUAACCUAUUCAUGACAGGCCUGGUCUAACCUAUUCAUGACAGGCCAGGUCUAACCUAUUCAUGACAGGCCUGGUCUAACCUAUUCAUGACAGGUUUGGGUAAAUAACAGGAGAAAUGUGAUGACUAAAACACCAGAGAACUGGGGAGAAAAUAGGAGUCAACGUCAUAAACUGACUGACAUACAAUGAGUGUACAAAACAUUAAGAACACCUUCCUAAUAUUGACUUGCACCCUUUUGCCCUCAGAACAGCCUCAAUUUGUCGGGGUAUGGACUCUACAAGGUGUUGAAAGCGUUCCACGGGGAUGCAGUUGUGUCAAGUCAGCUGGAUGUCCUUUGGUUGGUUAACCAUUCUUGAUACACACGGGAAACUGUUGAGCGUGAAAAACCCAGCAACGUUGCAGUUCUUGACACAACGGUGCGCCCAGCACCUACUACCAUACCCUGUUCAAAGACACAUUUUUCUUGCCCACUCACCCUCUGAAUGUCCCACAUACACAAUCCAUGUCUCAAUUGUCUCAAGUCUUAAAAAUCCUUCUUUAACCUGUCCUUCACUGAUUGAAAUGGAUUUAACAAGUGACAUCAAUAAGGGAUAAUAGCUUUCACCUGGUCAGUCUAGGGGUGGCAGGUAGCCUAGUGGUUAGAGCGUUGGACUAGUAACCAAAAGGUUGCAAGAUCGAAUCCCUGAGCUGACAAGGUACAAAUCUGUCGUUCUGCCCCUGAACAAGGCAGUUAACCCACUGUUCCUAGGCCGUCAUUGAAAAUAAGAAUUUGUUCUUAACUGACUUGCCUAGUUAAAUAAAAGUAAAACGUAAUGGAAAGAACAGGUGUUUUUGUACACUCAUAAUGUUUUGUACACUCAGUGUAUAUGUAAAUAAAUGAAAUGUAUACACACAUUGAAAUGAAUUUCAAACCCAUUGAAGUGAAUGUAAUGUAUUUCAACACAGGGUAUUACAUUUGUAAAAAUGAAUCAAUCACUCACCACCAGCAUUUACUACAGGACUGAGUUCACGUCUCCGUGUUUCACAGCUGUGUUGUGAUUGGAUACGUUUUGCAGUUCUGGGCUCUCAUUGGAUGAUUUUGCCAGUUGUGGGCUUUCAUCUCACCCUGUGUCACUUGUUCUCAUUGAGUUAUUUGUUGUAAAUUGUCGCCAGCUGUUACUGUGUUAGACUGUCCUAUUAGGUCUCUGUUCUGUCUGUCACUCUGUCAGACUGUCCUAGCAGGACUCUGUUCUGACUGUCACUCUGUCAGACUGUCCUAGCAGGACUCUGUUCUGUCUGUCACUCUGUCAGACUGUCCUAGCAGGUCUCUGUUCUGACUGUCACUCUGUCAGACUGUUCUAGCAGGUCUCUGUUCUGACUGUCACUCUGUCAGACUGUUCUAGCAGGACUCUGUUCUGACUGUCACUCUGUCAGACUGUCCUAGCAGGACUCUGUUCUGACUGUCACUCUGUCAGACUGAUCUAGUAGGACUCUGUUCUGACUGUCACUCUGUCAGACUGUCCUAGCAGGACUCUGUUCUGUCUGUCACUCUGUCAGACUGAUCUAGUAGGACUCUGUUCUGACUGUCACUCUGUCAGACUGUCCUAGCAGGACUCUGUUCUGUCUGUCACUCUGUCAGACUGUCCUAUUAGGUCUCUGUUCUGUCUGUGACUCUGUCAGACUGUUCUAGCAGGACUCUGUUCUGACUGUCACUCUGUCAGACUGUCCUAGCAGGUCUCUGUUCUGACUGUCCUAGCAGGUCUCCACAGCAUUCUGGGAGUACUGUUCUGUCUGUAAAGUCAAAUCCCCUGGUUGCUCGUUUUAUGUUUUCUAUUGUAAACAAUGAGAUGCUUUUGGAAUAAAAGUCUAAAGCAAAACAUUCCAGUUAGCUACAGCUGUGUGUCACUCUGUACCGCUGUGUGUCACUCUGUACUGCUGUGUGUCACUCUGUACCGCUGUGUGUCAC